CUAAGGAGAUGGCGACCGGCGCACGGGUGAGUAACACGUAUCCAACCUGCCGAUAACUCGGGGAUAGCCUUUCGAAAGAAAGAUUAAUACCCGAUGGCAUAAUAGAACCGCAUGGUUUGAUUAUUAAAGAAUUUCGGUUAUCGAUGGGGAUGCGUUCCAUUAGGCAGUUGGUGGGGUAACGGCCCACCAAACCUUCGAUGGAUAGGGGUUCUGAGAGGAAGGUCCCCCACAUUGGAACUGAGACACGGUCCAA
rnacentral:rRNA from 1 species